UGGCUGUUUAGUGGCUGUAUAGCGGUAGCUGUAAUGAGUGAUUACGAACGUGAGAUUGACGAAUAACGGUUGUAGAGUAAAUGCACUGCUGAAAGCUGCAGCUCCUGAUAACACGGUUGAUGGUAACGUGACGAUGACUUGAUUAAUUGGGUUGGUAGGAAAUAAAGGGCAAAGCAUGAGAAUUUGGCAGUACGUCCAACCUGCCUCACAACCGCAGACCACGUGUAACCACUCCAGCCCAGGACCUCCACAUCUGACUUCUUCACCUACGUGAGCAUCUGAGAUCAGCCACCCGGACAUCUGAUGAAACUGACAAUUAUUUCUGUCUGUAAUAAAGCCCUUUUGUGAGGAAAGCACUCAUUCUGAUUGUCAGGUCCUAACUCCCCAGUGGGUGGGCCUAUGCCCUCUCGGGCCUAUGCCCCCCCAUGCCCACCCAUGGCGGUGCCCCUGCCCAGUCAUGUGAAAUCCAUAGAUUAUGG
rnacentral:lncRNA from 1 species